rnacentral:rRNA from 1 species
AACGUAGGACGCAAACGUUAUCCGGAAUUACUGGGCGUAAAGGGCGCGCAGGCGGAUCGAUAAGUGAGGCAUGAAAGCUUCGGGCUAAACCUGGAGAGGCUGUCUGAGGCUGUCGAUCUGGAGUGCGAUAGAGGGGUGUAGAAUUCCGCGUGUAGUGGUGAAAUGCGUAGAGAUGCGGAGGAAUACCAGAGGCGAAGGCGGCACCCUGGAUCGUAACUGACGCUGAGGCGCGAAAGCAUGGGGAGCGAACGGG